UAAAGUGAUUGAUGUCAUACUUUCAAGAAAAGCUUCUAGGGCUAAUUGAUUAACUACCCGUACCGCAAACCGACACAGGUGGGUAGGUAGAGUAUACUAAGACGCGCGAGCAAACUCUUGUUAAGGAACUCGGCAAAAUUACUCCGUAACUUAGGGAUAAGGAGAGCUUUUAUUAAAACUAAAAGCCGCAGAGAAUAGGCCCAAGCGACU
rnacentral:rRNA from 2 species